rnacentral:rRNA from 1 species
CACAGUGUAGCAAUACAUGGGUGGCGACCGGCAAACGGGUGCGGAACACGUACGCAACCUUCCUUCAGGCGGGGAAUAGCCCAGAGAAAUUUGGAUUAAUACCCCAUAAUAUUUUGAGAUGGCAUCAUCUUAUUAUUAAAGCUACGGCACCUGGAGAUGGGCGUGCGGCUGAUUAGGUAGUUGGCGGGGUAAUGGCCCACCAAGCCUACGAUCAGUAGCUGAUGUGAGAGCAUGAUCAGCCACACGGGCACUGAGACACGGGCCCGACUCCUACGGGAGGCAGCAGUAAGGAAUAUUAGUCAAUGGACGCAAGUCUGAACCAGCCAUGCCGCGUGGAGGAUGAAGGUCCUCUGGAUUGUAAACUUCUUUUAUCUGGGACGAAAAAAGGGUUUUCUAACUCGUCUGACGGUACCAGAUGAAUAAGCACCGGCUAACUCCGUGCCAGCAGCCGCGGUAAUACGGAGGGUGCAAGCGUUAUCCGGAUUCACUGGGUUUAAAGGGUGCGUAGGCGGGCAUUUAAGUCAGUGGUGAAAUACCUGAGCUUAACUUGGGAACUGCCAUUGAUACUAUUUGUCUUGAAUGUCGUGGAGGUUAGCGGAAUAUGUCAUGUAGCGGUGAAAUGCUUAGAUAUGACAUAGAACACCUAUUGCGAAGGCAGCUAACUACGCGAAUAUUGACGCUGAGGCACGAAAGCGUGGGGAUCAAACAGGAUUAGAUACCCUGGUAGUCCACGCCCUAAACGAUGAUUACUCGACAUUAGCGAUACACUGUUAGUGUCUGAGCG